rnacentral:tRNA from 1 species
AGGCGAGUAGCUCAACUGGUAGAGCACCGGUCUCCAAAACCGGGGGUUGGGGGUUCGAGCCCCUCCUCGCCUGCCA